CUUUAUUGUCACGAAGCAAUUCAACUGGUUCAGUACCAAAUUCCAAGAAACAGGGGACUCUGCAAUUAAAGCAAAUCAAGAAUUCAUCAACACCAGCAAGUUUUUACACAUUUCCAUCAGCUCAAAAACCGCCAUUAAGGAAGAAUUAUGGAGCAGCAGGGAGUAAUUAUGGUAAUGGUAUUAGAAUUAGUCCAGUUCUUAAUGUUGCAUCACAAAAUUUAUUUGGAUUUGGG
rnacentral:misc_RNA from 1 species